GCGCCAUAAGCUCAGUUGGUAGAGCAGUGGUCUUGUAAUCCGGCAACCUGGGUUCGAAACCAAGGCGAUGCA
rnacentral:tRNA from 1 species